UACGGAGGGUGCGAGCGUUGUCCGGAAUCACUGGGCGUAAAGGGCGCGUAGGCGGCGCGGUAAGCGUGCGGUGAAAGUCCGGGGCUCAACCCCGGAUCGGCCGUGCGGACUGCCGGGCUCGAGCACUGUAGGGGCGGGUGGAACUCCGGGUGUAGCGGUGGAAUGCGUAGAGAUCCGGAAGAACACCGGUGGCGAAGGCGGCCCGCUGGGCAGUGGCUGACGCUGAGGCGCGAAAGCGUGGGGAGCAAACAGG
rnacentral:rRNA from 1 species